AUUAAAAAUCUUACUAAAUCUGCCAAAAAUACAUCAAUAAAUUGUCUGUUGCUUCCCAUGUUCUUUAAGUUGCGGAAUGGAUUAACAGGAGGAACCUACUAAAAACGGUGUACAUGUAUACAUAUGCACAAUGAACCAGAAUUAGCUGUCCAUUCGGUCCAAAAAUACGCGGUUUUCUUCAAGUGCAAAAUAACGCUGCCAUGAAAUCAUUGGCUACUUUUCUUACUUAUUAGGGUUUGGACAAGAAUGCUAAGUGGAAUUUAUUGUUGCUCGCCUUAACUUUAUAUGUUCAUUUCUUUAUACCACAUGUCCAUUUUGUGUAUGAAAUACUAUUAAACUUAAUGAAAAAUAUAUUUAUCUUAAAUUUGA